rnacentral:rRNA from 1 species
AUUGAACGCUGGCGGCAGGCCUAACACAUGCAAGUCGAACGGUAACAGGGAUCAGCUUGCUGAUUCGCUGACGAGUGGCGGACGGGUGAGUAAUGUCUGGGAAACUCCCUGCUGGAGGGGGAUAACUACUGGAAACGGUAGCUACUACCGCAUAACGUCGCCAGACCAAAGAGGGGGGCCUUCUGGCCUCUUGCCAUCGGAUGUGCCCAGAUGGGAUUAGCUAGUAGGUGGGGUAACGGCUCACCUAGGCGACGAUCCCUAGCUGGUCUGAGAGGCUGACCAGCGACAUGAGAACGGAGACAGGGACCAGACUACUACGGGAGGCAGCAGUGGGGUAUAUUGCACAAUGGGGGCAAGCAUGAUGCAGCGAUGCGGAGUGUAUGAAGAAGGCCUUCGGGUUGUAAAGUACGUUCAGCGGGGAGGAAGGGAGUAAAGUUAAUACCUUUGCUCAUUGACGUUACCGGCAGAAGAAGCACCGGCUAACUCCGUG